rnacentral:rRNA from 1 species
UUCGGGCGUUCCCCUUCGGGGGGACAGGGUGACAGGUGGUGCAUGGUUGUCGUCAGCUCGUGUCGUGAGAUGUUGGGUUAAGUCCCGCAACGAGCGCAACCCUCGCCUCUAGUUGCCAGCAUUCGGUUGGGGCACUCUAGAGGGACUGCCGGCGACAAGUCGGAGGAAGGUGGGGAUGACGUCAAAUCAUCAUGCCCCUUAUGACCUGGGCUACACACGUGCUACAAUGGGCGGUACAAAGGGCUGCGAACCCGCGAGGGGGAGCGAAUCCCAAAAAGCCGCUCUCAGUUCGGAUUGCAGGCUGCAACUCGCCUGCAUGAAGCCGGAAUCGCUAGUAAUCGCGGAUCAGCAUGCCGCGGUGAAUACGUUCCCGGGCCUU